UACGUAGGGGGCUAGCGUUGUCCGGAUUUAUUGGGCGUAAAGAGCGUGUAGGCGGCCAGAUAGGUCUGCUGUGAAAACUCGAGGCUCAACCUCGAGCUGUCGGCGGAAACCAUUUGGCUAGAGUCCGGAAGAGGAAAGUGGAAUUCCUGGUGUAGCGGUGAAAUGCGCAGAUAUCAGGAGGAACACCGGUGGCGAAGGCGGGUCUCUGGGCCGAUACUGACGCUGAGGAGCGAAAGCGUGGGGAGCGAACAGG
rnacentral:rRNA from 1 species